rnacentral:rRNA from 1 species
UACGUAGGGUGCAAGCGUUAAUCGGAAUUACUGGGCGUAAAGCGUGCGCAGGCGGUUUUGUAAGUCUGACGUGAAAUCCCCGGGCUCAACCUGGGAAUUGCGUUGGAGACUGCAAGGCUAGAAUCUGGCAGAGGGGGGGUAGAAUUCCACGUGUAGCAGUGAAAUGCGUAGAGAUGUGGAGGAACACCGAUGGCGAAGGCAGCCCCCUGGGUCAAGAUUGACGCUCAUGCACGAA